GAUGAAGAACCCAGCGAAAUGCGAUAAGUAGUGUGAAUUGCAGAAUUCCGUGAAUCAUCGAAUCUUUGAACGCACAUUGCGCCUUCUGGUAUUCCGGAAGGCAUGCCUGUUCAAGAGUCAUUAACAACCGUUUCGAUCCCUUUCUUUCAGAAAUUACAAAGAGGAAAAGGGUUUGGUUAUGGUGGAGGAGGGAAAGGGAGCGUUUAGCCUGUAAAAAAAGAGGCUGUGUUCCGCCUCCCCCCCAAAAUUGUACAGGCGGUCGUGUGCGCCCACGCAUCGAGGUGUUGUAAAAGCUGCCACGGCACUUUUCACCUGUGCAGUGCGAGAUUGGCCAGCCGGUUUAAAAACCCCUCCAAACAAUCAAAGGUUGACCUCGGAUCAGGUAGGGAUACCCGCUGAACUUAAGCAUAUCAAUAAGCGGAGGA
rnacentral:misc_RNA from 1 species